rnacentral:rRNA from 1 species
GAUGAACGCCGGCGGCGUGCCUAAUACAUGCAAGUCGAGCGAACAGACGAGGAGCUUGCUCCUCUGACGUUAGCGGCGGACGGGUGAGUAACACGUGGAUAACCUACCUAUAAGACUGGGAUAACUUCGGGAAACCGGAGCUAAUACCGGAUAAUAUAUUGAACCGCAUGGUUCAAUAGUGAAAGACGGUUUUGCUGUCACUUAUAGAAGGAUCCGCGCCGCAUUAGCUAGUUGGUAAGGUAACGGCUUACCAAGGCAACGAUGCGUAGCCGACCUGAGAGGGUGAUCGGCCACACUGGAACUGAGACACGGUCCAGACUCCUACGGGAGGCAGCAGUAGGGAAUCUUCCGCAAUGGGCGAAAGCCUGACGGGGCAACGCCGCGUGAGUGAUGAAGGUCUUCGGAUCGUAAAACUCUGUUAUUAGGGAAGAACAAAUGUGUAAGUAACUAUGCACGUCUUGACGGUACCUAAUCAGAAAGCCACGGCUAACUACGUG